UACGUAGGUGGCAAGCGUUUGUCCGGAUUUAUUGGGUUUAAAGGGUGCGUAGGCGGCGCGGUAAGUCGGGUGUGAAAUUUCGAGGCUUAACUUCGAAACUGCAUUCGAUACUGCCGUGCUUGAGGACUGGAGAGGAGACUGGAAUUUACGGUGUAGCGGUGAAAUGCGUAGAUAUCGUAAGGAAGACCAGUGGCGAAGGCGGGUCUCUGGACAGUUCCUGACGCUGAGGCACGAAGGCCAGGGGAGCAAACGGGG
rnacentral:rRNA from 1 species